CUGUAGGCCCGGCCGGCGCCCGCCGGCGACCCCCCUCAAUCUUUCUCAGGUUGACCUCGGAUCAGGUAGGGAUACCCGCUGAACUUAA
rnacentral:rRNA from 2 species